rnacentral:rRNA from 1 species
CUACGUGCCAGCAGCCGCGGUAAUACGUAGGUCCCGAGCGUUGUCCGGAUUUAUUGGGCGUAAAGCGAGCGCAGGCGGUUAGAUAAGUCUGAAGUUAAAGGCUGUGGCUUAACCAUAGUACGCUUUGGAAACUGUUUAACUUGAGUGCAAGAGGGGAGAGUGGAAUUCCAUGUGUAGCGGUGAAAUGCGUAGAUAUAUGGAGGAACACCGGUGGCGAAAGCGGCUCUCUGGCUUGUAACUGACGCCGAGGCUCGAAAGCGUGGGGAGCAAACAGGAUUAGAUACCCUGGUAGUCCACGCCGUAAACGAUGAGUGCUAGGUGUUAGACCCUUUCCGGGGUUUAGUGCCGCAGCUAACGCAUUAAGCACUCCGCCUGGGGAGUACGACCGCAAGGUUGAAACUCAAAGGAAUUGACGGGGGCCCGCACAAGCGGUGGAGCAUGUGGUUUAAUUCGAUGCAACGCGAAGAACCUUACCUACUCUUGACAUCCAGA